rnacentral:lncRNA from 1 species
CCAAAGCCACAUCCUUUGUUUCUGCAGUCGACAUAUUAGGUAUGUUUUCCCUAGUUGUUUUCACAUUAAUUACAUUUUCGGAUACCUUCAAACGUACAGUUGAUACCUUCGUAUCAGACUCUUUAUUAACAGUUUCUUCAUGCUUGCCCUCAGUUUUUGGCGACGGAGUAUCUACUGCCAGAGUUUCCCCUGAUACACACGGAGUAGAGUCUUUCACUUUUGACUCAGUUGUUUCCGAGGUUCUUGACUGUCCAGUGGGCAAGGAUUCCUGUAAAGUGCUUUUUACUUCUUCUUCUGGUCGUUGUGAUUUAGCUGGUGGUUUUGAUACCACUGGACUCUUCUGAAUGGUCUGGACGUCCGUUGGAGAGAGAAAGGCACUGAAGAAAUUUUCAGAUUCAUCUACCACAGUUCUCCGAACUGGCUUUGUUAUUGCUUUAGGAGAGGCUACAGGCUGACUCUGAGGUUCACUGUUUGAUUUUAACCCCCAGGUUGAAGUAUCCCAUCCUCCACUGACAGGGAGACUUAUUCCU